GGCCUGUCCUGGCUGGGUGUGUUUAAAUAAAAUAAAAAUUGACAAAAUAUAUCUUGGAUUUUGAAGGGGCACAAAUCUAGUAAUACAGUCAAACCGAGUGGGAGAGAGCGGCGGGUGGAGGGGGGGGGGUCGAAUAAGUGAUCUUGGGCAAAGGAGGUAAGACAGGAUAUGAAAACAAUGGACUCAUUGUAGAGAGAUGAUAGAGGGAUGAGAAGGAGAUCAGUGGAACACAGCACCAUCUACAGGCUGAUACAGCACACCAUCAGAUGAUCACAGUAAGACAGCCUGGAGCGGGUGACCGUUUUGUAGCCCCACCACCUUUCCUGUGCCAAAAAUGCCAACUGUAACAACAAAGAGUGGCAGAUGCCAAGGGAAUGCCAGACGAAUGACCUCCGUGAAGUCGGCCUACCAAAGAAAAGCAAAUAUUUACCCUGCGUGUUUGAACCCAUGGCGCUGUGCCACGGCUGCCCCUCAGAGCACAUACUGGGGCGAUAGGCUUACUCGUCCUCCAACUUUACUCUCUGGGACCCUGGGUACACCCUGUAUGACGCCAGAUAAAGUCUUCUCGAUUUUUCGACCAUCACAUCAUAGAGUGGAACAUAUGAAUAUGAAUAUUCCAGGUCCUGCACAUCCCAGAGCUCAGCCACCCUGAGACCAAUGUCUCCUUACAGAACACUGACUUCAAAGUCCAUUUUGGAAGGAAUGAUCUGAAGAAUGCGAACCGGUCUCUGAUAACCAACAGAGCAGUCGGGAUCAGUGGAGAAGCCACCAAAUGAGAUCUCCUGGGCAUCAAACACACACAAUACAUAAAAUAUGUGCAUAUCAUAUUAAUGUGCCGUUCUAUUCUUCCGCUGAGGUGAAGCUGGUUGGAAUAUGCUGACUGUCUUGACUGUGCAUGAUUUACCCACCUGUCAUCAGUGAACAAUUUUACAUGGAAAACAUGUAUUGGAUCUAGUUUGCUCAACUCUUUGACUCAGACUCUCCGCUUGGAAGAGUUUGCAGGUCAUACCAGGAUGCAAAACUGCACAUCUGACCCAUCUAUGUACUCCAUGGCCCCAUAACCCAUUAUCCUCCAUCAGAUUAGCAUAUCCACUCCAAGAAAUGAGCUCUCAAAUAAGCAUGUUAUCCAUCAGGAGAACAACAACAACUGCAAUGUUGUACAGACCUUAACCUGGGAAAAGAAAGUGUCUUGAUGCUAUGUGUCAGACUCAGCCAACGAGUAAAAUAAUAAUAAUAAUAAUAAUUUCAGACUUCAUCUGAUAAAAGGGGCCAGAAUAGGUGUGGCACAACCUAUGUCUGUCUGCAUUAGGGUAUUGUCCUUUAAUCUGACUCCCACCGUGCUGGAUUGUAAUCCCCGUUUCCUGUAGGAGCAAUCAUCAACUACAUGAUGGGGAGGGGGAGGUUAAGAGGCAAAAUGGAGAUGCGAACAAUGUGUUAAACUCUGUCAAAAAAAGUGGGGAGGGGGGUUGCAGUGGAUAUGGAAUCAAUCACUAGUGCUACCGACUUUAUGGCUCUACUAAGCUUGUUAAACUAGCAAUACAGGUGAUUUUUGUCUUUUUUUUAAGAACAGCAAUCCAGGAUGAAAUGUUGGAAAAAUUCUUCAAUGGUAAACAAAAAGUAACUUUUUUCCUGAAAUAUUCCACAUCGAGCUCCAUGUCGAAAAUGCGUGACUCCAGGAGUUGGCAUGCGGCAGCGGUUCCAGCCUGCUCAGCCCACGCCAUCUCUAAAGACCCUUAAACCGAAGCAAACGUUUCAGCAACAUUUCCCUCCAUUUUUGCUCUAACAGUGUGAUGAGAGCAGGUUAAAGCUGUAAGCCAUCAAAGUCUGCCGAGGACCGUGCCCUGUUUGAAACUCAUCUGGAUCCCCCAUAAACACUCAGCUGCUAAUUGGCUGCACAUGUGGCACUGAGUGCAUUUUAGCAUGCGUUAGUGUGUGUGUGCCACAGCGUGUUAGAAUGUGAAUGCGUGUGUUGGCAUACAACAUGGCUUAUCAGUCUGAUCAAAGACAGCCUUUCCUUAAACUGUCUGCAAUAUAAAAGGCACACAAAAGCAGGAAUAGAUUCAUGGUAAAUUUCUGAUCCGGAGAGUAAUUGGUACCUGUCUCAGAGAUCUGGCUCUUUGAUCGACACUCCUUUCCUCUCCCGUAGUUUAAAUGUGGAAAUAUAUUUAUUGGUGGCUCCCCCACUUCCGAACAUCACGCACCAUCUGGGAAGGGUGCUAAAAGAUGCUCGCCACCAAGCGUGCUCUCUGAGCUCACGAAACUGUCAUCGCUGAGAAGAAAUGUCACACAAUUUAAUUAUAAAUAAGGAAAAAUUUUAAAAGGUUAUAAUUUUUAUCAUUAUAACAGGACACUAACAAGCACAUAAUAAAAAAAAAAAAAUGAAAAGACA
ensembl:lncRNA